CGAUACGAGUUUGAUCCUGGCUCAGAACGAACGCUGGCGGCAGGCCUAACACAUGCAAGUCGAGCGCCCCGCAAGGGGAGCGGCGGACGGGUGAGUAACGCGUGGGAACGUACCCUUUGCUACGGAAUAGCCUCGGGAAACUGGGAGUAAUACCGUAUGUGCCCUUCGGGGGAAAGAUUUAUCGGCAAAGGAUCGGCCCGCGUUGGAUUAGGUAGUUGGUGGGGUAAUGGCCUACCAAGCCGACGAUCCAUAGCUGGUUUGAGAGGAUGAUCAGCCACACUGGGACUGAGACACGGCCCAGACUCCUACGGGAGGCAGCAGUGGGGAAUCUUAGACAAUGGGCGCAAGCCUGAUCUAGCCAUGCCGCGUGAGCGAUGAAGGCCUUAGGGUUGUAAAGCUCUUUCAGUGGGGAAGAUAAUGACUGUACCCACAGAAGAAGCCCCGGCUAACUCCGUG
rnacentral:rRNA from 1 species